rnacentral:rRNA from 1 species
GGCGGCGUGCCUAAUACAUGCAAGUCGAACGCACUCUCGUUUAGAUUGAAGGAGCUUGCUCCUGAUUGAUAAACAUUUGAGUGAGUGGCGGACGGGUGAGUAACACGUGGGUAACCUGCCCUAAAGUGGGGGAUAACAUUUGGAAACAGAUGCUAAUACCGCAUAAAACCUAACACCGCAUGGUGUAGGGUUGAAAGAUGGUUUCGGCUAUCACUUUAGGAUGGACCCGCGGUGCAUUAGUUAGUUGGUGAGGUAAAGGCUCACCAAGACCGUGAUGCAUAGCCGACCUGAGAGGGUAAUCGGCCACACUGGGACUGAGACACGGCCCAGACUCCUACGGGAGGCAGCAGUAGGGAAUCUUCCACAAUGGACGAAAGUCUGAUGGAGCAACGCCGCGUGAGUGAAGAAGGUUUUCGGAUCGUAAAACUCUGUUGUUGGAGAAGAAUGUAUCUGAUAGUAACUGAUCAGGUAGUGACGGUAUCCAACCAGAAAGCCACGGCUAACUACGUG